UUUAUCUUCUCACCUAGAAAUUUUGAAAUUAUCUUUAGGCAAAAAAAAAAAGCUUUAGCAAUCUAUAUAAAUAUGAUAUUACAAGUAAUCUAAAUCUUAUCAUAGAAAUCAUACAUUUAAAUUCCAGUUUUUUGUACAGAAAAUAAAAAUUCUACACCCAAAUAAACAACUAUAAGCUAAGAUCAUGUAUAGAAAUUCCCUUACAUAUCAAAUCUAAAAGAACUUUCUUUUAGUAAAUUAUCUACACAAGGAUUUGUAGAAUUUUGGACUUAACGCAAGAGUUCAGACAUGCUAUGUAGCCACUUGGGCUAAGAAACUUCCUGACCACGACCGUCAUGGCGUCAUCAAGUUGAAUGUCUUAGCUGUCUCCACCACUACUAUAUCAAAGUCAGUCAAAAUCAUUACUUGAUGUUACCCAACUACUACCUUAUCCCUUUUAACGUGGCAUCUCUCUUCUUCGUCCACGCUAAUUUUUGUUUAUUAAUGAAAACAUUUAAAACAAAUAUACAACGCGAGGCUUAUCCUAUUUGCUUAACCACUAUAAAUGUGUUAUGUGAAAACACGCACCUACAUUAAAUAAAUUUUAUUUUGUCUACAAUUUAUUAUUUUUGUACGAAAAAAUAUAACAUACAUAAUAAAACUCAAA
rnacentral:lncRNA from 1 species